CCUCAGGUUACUGUACACAUGCACCAACUAUCUGCUUCAGGUUUGAAAUGGAGCUUCAUGGUUGUCUUUUGGAGAAAUGAACAGUCAAGUUGUGUUUGAAAUUUGAUUUUUUUCAGGGGCAAAAGGAGCCUCUGCAUUCUUGUCAAAUAUGUAAACAGCAUGUUUUUGCAGGUGCUAAAAAACAGACUCUGAGUGUGUGUGUGUGUCUGUGUGUGUGUGUGUGUGUGUGUGUGUGUGUGUGUGUGUGUGUGUAUGUUGGCGUGUGUGUAUAUGUGUGUGUAUCCUGCAGUACUCUGUACUCCUGCAGUGGCCAAAAAGACUUUUAAGAAUGUGGAUUUUUGGGUCAUCUUUGGCGCCCCCUAGAACUGCAGUACUCUGUACUCCUGCAGUGGCCAAAAUGACUUUUAAGAAUGUGGAUUUUUGGGUCAUCUUUGGCGCCCCCUAGAACGUAAACCGUGGGGUGCAGCGUCAUGAUUUUUACAACUUUGAAUGGGCAUGGGGUGUAGAUUGCCCUGAGCAAAUUUGGUAUCGGUGGGACGAAAGCCUUAGGAGGAGAUAGCCACAUUCCAAUGUGUGCGAAUCGGCAAAAAAUGCAAAAUAGCCCUUUAACCGUACAUUAUACAGAUACGCGCUCUUUGACUUUUUCGUAGAUCUAAUUGAGAUACACAUGAUUGUUGAGUGUCACGCCUGAACGCUUUGUCAUAUUGACACAAAAAUUGACAAUGUGUAUUUUCAUGUAAGGGGACAAGAAAAAAUUGACUUUUUUCUCCUACCAUGGGGGGGCGCUCUUUUGGGGAGUAAAAAUUCCUUCACAAAUGUGUUGAUGGCUGGACAUUGCAUCAUCCUAGAAAACUUGGAGGCCAGUGAGGACAAAAAUAAAAAGUUAUGAAACAUUUAAGAAUGUGGAUUUUUGGGUUAUUUUUGGCGCCCCCUAGAACCUAAACCAUGGGGUGCAGCAUCAUGAUUUGAAUAACUUUUAAUGGCCAUGGGGUGUAGAUUGGCUUGAGCAAAUGUGGUGCCGGUGGAACGAAAGCCUUCGGAGGAGUUAGCGAAAUUCCAAUGUGUGCGUGUCGGCAAAUAAUGCGGAAUAACCCUUUAACUGUACAUUUGACAGAUACGCGCGCAUUGACUUUUUUGUAGAUCUUAUUGAGUUACAUGUGUGUGUCAAUUUUUGUGUCAUUUUGACAAAGCGUAUAGGCGUGACACUCAACAAUGUGUAUUUUCACCUUAGGGGACAAGAAAAAAUUGACUUUUUUCUCCUGCCAUGGGGGGGCGCUCUUUUGGGGAGUAAAAAUUCCUUCACAAAUGUGUUGAUGGCUGGACAUUGCAUCAUCCUAGAAAACUUGGAGGCCAGUGAGGACAAAAAUAAAAAGUUAUAAGACUUUUAAAUAUGUGGAUUUUAGGGUUAUCUUUGGCGCCCCCUAGAACCUAAACCUUGGGGUGCAGCGUCAUGAUUUUGAUAACUUUUAAUGGCCACGGGGUGUAGAUUGGCCUGAGCAAAUGUGGUGCCGGUGGAACGAAAGCCUUCGGAGGAGUUAGCGAAAUUCCAAUGUGUGCGGAUCGGCAAAAAAUGCGUAAUAACCCUUUAACCGUACAUUUGACAGAUACGCCCGCACCGACUUUUUUGUAGAUCUUAUUGAGAUACAUGUGUGUGUCAAUUUUUGUGUCAUUUUGACAAAGCGUACAGUCGUGACAGUGAAUAGUGUGAAUUUUCACCUUAGGGGGCGCUAUGGAGCCAUUUUGCAUUUUAUUGUUUUGGCGACUUCAGAAUAUCAAAUUUUUCACCAGGCCCGGUCGUCCUGCCAAAUUUCAUGAGUUUUCGCCAGUGGGAAGGGGGCCAUUUUCCAGUUCAAAGGGGAGGAAAAAGAAAAAAGAAAGAAAGAAACAAAGAAAAACCACUUGGGGAAUAAUAGGGCCUACGCCCGGCUGCUCUGCAGCUGGCUCGGGCCCUAAUAAUAACAAAAGAAGGAAACAUGCAGGAACAAGAGGGCUCUCGCAGCUGCUUAGCAGCUACGCUCGGGCCCUAACUAGGGCCCCGUUGGGGCACUGGCGGGCCCGAGCCGUGUCGCGCUGCCCCCCCCAACGCGCUGCCUCCCCGUCCCAUUCGCGUCCUCUGGCCAUCGUCCUCUCUGGUAACGCCCAUCACUGCAAAGACCCUUUCCUUCAUCGGCGUUUGCUGUUCUUCCUGCCAGUGCGUGUUGCUUUCACUUACACUUGCCACAGCCAGCCUCGUGAGUGCCUAGCCUAUUGGAUAUCACUGUCAUCUACACAGGACAGUCAUAACCUUUCUAUUAAUACUUUGUUUUUUAAUUUCACAUUAAUUUCCAUAUUGUAUAAAUGACUGGAAAAAACUUGAGCCCCUGCCCCUGUAUAAUCAUGUGCACGUCCCUGUUCUAGCUCCAAGGUGAAUCUUCACUGCUCAUGUUCUCCUCAGAAAUAGUCACCUCACUCCCCUCAGGUUACUGUACACAUGCACCAACUAUCUGCUUCAGGUUUGGAUGGAGCUUCAUGGUUGUCUUUUGGAGAAAUGACCAGUCAAGUUGUGUUUGAAAUUUGAUUUUUUUCAGGGGCAAAAGGAAGCCUCUGCAUUCUUGUCAAAUAUGUAAACAGCAUGUUUUUGCAGGUGCUAAAAAACAGACUCUGAGUGUGUGUGUGUGUGUGUGUGUGUGUGUGUGUGUGUGUGUGUGUGCGUGUGUGUACAUGUGUGUGUAUCCUGCAGUACUCUGUACUCCUGCAGUGGCCAAAAAGACUUUUAAGAAUGUGGAUUUUUGGGUCAUCUUUGGCGCCCCCUAGAACUGCAGUACUCUGUACUCCUGCAGUGGCCAAAAUGACUUUUAAGAAUGUGGAUUUUUGGGUCAUCUUUGGCGCCCCCUAGAACGUAAACCGUGGGGUGCAGCGUCAUGAUUUUUACAACUUUGAAUGGGCAUGGGGUGUAGAUUGCCCUGAGCAAAUUUGGUAUCAGUGGGACGAAAGCCUUAGGAGGAGAUAGCCACAUUCCAAUGUGUGCGAAUCGGCAAAAAAUGCGAAAUAGCCCUUUAACCGUACAUUAUACAGAUACGCGCUCUUUGACUUUUUCGUAGAUCUAAUUGAGAUACACAUGAUUGUCAAUUUUUGUGUCAAUAUGACAAAGCGUUCAGGCGUGACACUCAACAAUGUGUAUUUUCAUGUAAGGGGACAAGAAAAAAUUGACUUUUUUCUCCUGCCAUGGGGGGGCGCUCUUUUGGGGAGUAAAAAUUCCUUCACAAAUGUGUUGAUGGCUGGACAUUGCAUCAUCCUAGAAAACUUGGAGGGCAGUGAGGACAAAAAUAAAAAGUUAUAAGACUUUUAAGAAUGUGGAUUUUUGGGUUAUCUUUGGCGCCCCCUAGAACCUAAACCGUGGGGUGCAGCGUCAUGAUUUGUACAACUUUUAAUGGCCAUGGGGUGUAGACUGGCCUGAGCAAAUGUGGUGCCGGUGGAACGAAAGCCUUCGGAGGAGUUAGCGAAAUUCCAAUGUGUGCGGAUCGGCAAAAAAUGCGAAAUAACCCUUUAACCGUACAUUUGACAGAUACGCCCGCACUGACUUUUUUGUAGAUCUUAUUGAGAUACAUAUGUGUGUCAAUUUUUGUGUCAAUAUGACAAAACGUACAGACGUGACAGUCAACAAUGUGUAUUUUCACCUUAGGGGACAAGAAAAAAUGGACUUUUUUCUCCUGCCAUGGGGGGGCGCUCUUUUGGGGAGUAAAAAUUCCUUCACAAAUGUGUUACUGGCUGGACAUUGCAUCAUCCUAGAAAACUUGGAGGCCAGUGAGGACAAAAAUAAAAAGUUAUAAGACUUUUAAAUAUGUGGAUUUUAGUGUUAUCUUUGGCGCCCCCUAGAACCUAAACCUUGGGGUGCAGCGUCAUGAUUUUGAUAACUUUUAAUGGCCACGGGGUGUAGAUUGGCCUGAGCAAAUGUGGUGCCGGUGGAACGAAAGCCUUCGGAGGAGUUAGCGAAAUUCCAAUGUGUGCGGAUCGGCAAAAAAUGCGUAAUAACCCUUUAACCGUAAUUUUGACAGAUACGGCCGCACUGACUUUUUUGUACAUCUUAUUGAGAUACAUAUGUGUGUCAAUUUUUGUGUCAAUAUGACAAAGCGUACAGGCGUGACAGUCAAUAGUGUGAAUUUCCACCUUAGGGGGCGCUAUGUAGCCAUUUUGCAUUUUAUUGUUUGGGCGACUUCAGAAUAUCGAAUUUUUCACCAGGCCCGGUCGUCCUGCCAAAUCUCAUGAGUUUUCGCCAGUGGGAAGUGGGCCAUUUUCCAGUUCAAAGGGGAGGAAAAAGAAGAAAGAAAGAAAGAAAGAAACAAAGAAAAACCACUUGGGGAAUAAUAGGGCUCUCGCAGCUGCUUAGCAGCUACGCUCGGGCCCUAAGAAAGAAAGAAAGAAAGAAAGAAACAAAGAAAAACCACUUGGGGAAUAAUAGGGCUCUCGCAGCUGCUUAGCAGCUACGCUCGGGCCCUAAAGAAACAAAGAAAAACCACUUGGGGAAUAAUAGGGCUCUCGCAGCUGCUUAGCAGCUACGCUCGGGCCCUAAUAAUAAUAACACUAGGGCCCCGGUGGGGCACUGUCGGGCCCGAGCCGCGUCGCGCCGCCCCUAGUGCGACCGCCUCCCCCUCCCGAUCGCGUCACACUCAAGGUCCAAAGAUGGUGUGCGCACUUGUCUGUGGUCAUUUCCCAUUAUAAUGAAUGGGAGGCGCAGUUUCUACCAAAACACUCGCUGCAGACAAACUUCAUGUCCUAUUUGAAAAAAGUCUGGACCAUGAGUGAGGGCACAAACACAGCUAUGAUAUAUCGAAAUGGCAGGUUGCUCCUCCUUACGGUGUUGCCUGGAGAGCGAUGCGAUUGAGCCAUUGAGCAAUGGGCAGGGUUAACUUGACUUUUUCUCCUGCCUUGGGGGGGGAUGUGGAUUCCUUUAAGAAUGUGGAUUUUUGGGUCAUCUUUGGCGCCCCCUAGAACGUAAACCGUGGAGUGCAGCGUCAUGAUUUUUACAACUUUGAAUGGCCAUGGGGUGUAGAUUGGCCUGAGCAAAUUUGGUGUCAGUGGGACGAAAGCCUUAGGAGGAGUUAGCCACAUUCCAAUGUGUGCGAAUCGGCAAAAAAUGCAAAAUAGCCCUUUAACCGUACAUUUGACAGAUACGCGCGCAUUGACUUUUUUGUAGAUCUUAUUGAGAUACAUAUGUGUGUCAAUUUUUGUGUCAAUAUGAUAAAGCGUACAGGCGUGACAGUCAAUAGUGUGAAUUACCACCUUAGGGGACAAGAAAAAAUUGGACUUUUUUCUCCUGCCAUGGGGGGGCGCUCUUUUGGGGAGUAAAAAUUCCUUCACAAAUGUGUUGAUGGCUGGACAUUGCAUCAUCCUAGAAAACUUGGAGGCCAGUGAGGACAAAAAUAAAAAGUUAUAAGACUUUUAAAUAUGUGGAUUUUAGUGUUAUCUUUGGCGCCCCCUAGAACCUAAACCGUGGGGUGCAGCGUCAUGAUUUGAAUAACUUUUAAUGGCCAUGGGGUGUAGAUUGGCCUGAGCAAAUGUGGUGCCGGUGGAACGAAAGCCUUAGGAGGAGUUAGCGAAAUUCCAAUGUGUGCGGAUCGGCAAAAAAUGCGGAAUAACCCUUUAACCGUACAUUUGACAGAUACGCACGCAUUGACUUUUUCGUAGAUCUUAUUGAGAUACAUGUGUGUGUCAAUUUUUGUGUCAUUUUGCCAAAGCGUACACGCGUGACAGUCAAUAGUGUGAAUUUUCACCUUAGGGGGCGCUAUGGAGCCAUUUUGCAUUUUCUUGUUUGGGCGACUUCGGAAUAUCAAAUUUUUCACCAGGCCCGGUCGUCCUGCCAAAUUUCAUGAGUUUUCGCCAGUGGGAAGUGGGCCAUUUUCCAGUUCAAAGGGGAGGAAAAAUAAUAACUAGGACCCCGUUGGGGCACUGGCGGGCCCGAGCUGUGCCGCGUCCCCCCCCCAACGCGCUGCCUCCCCGUCCCAUUUGUGUCCUCUGGCCAUCGCCCUCUCUGGUAACGCCCAUCACUGCAAAGACCCUUUUCCUUCAUCGGCGUUUGCUGUUCUUCCUGCCAGUGCGUGUUGCUUUCACUUACACUUGCCACAGCCAGCCUCGUGAGUGCCUAGCCUAUUGGAUAUCACUGUCACCUACACAGGACAGUCAUUACCUUUCUAUUAAUACUUUGUUUUUUAAUUUCACAUUAAUUUCCAUAUUGUAUAAACAACUGGAAAAAACUUGAGCCCCUGCCCCUGUAUAAUCAUGUGCACGUCUCUGUUCUAGCUCUAAGGUGAAUCUUCACUGCUCAUGUUCUCCUCAGAAGCAGUCACCUCACUCCCCUCAGGUUACUGUGCACAUGCACCAACUGCCUGCUUCAGGUUUGGAUGGAGCUUCAUGGUUGUCUUUUGGAGAAAUGACCAGUCAAGUUGUGUUUGAAAUUUGAUUUUUUUCAGGGGCAAAAGGAGCCUCUGCAUUCUUGUCAAAUAUGUAAAUAGCAUGUUUUUGCAGGUGCUAAAAACCAGACUCUGAGUGUGUGUGUGUGUGUGUGUGCGUGUGUGUGUGUGUCUGUGUGUGCGUUCAAGUCACAUGACAUAUUUAACCGGAUGUAGCUGCAAGACGGAGCCUCGUUGACUCUCCGUUUCAACUUAUCUCAAAAGUGAGGACCUCAACCUAUAUACCAGUUUUUAAAUUGUGUUGAUAGGCCAAAUAAAACCAGAGUUAUGAUAAAUUAUGUCCGCGAUACUUGUUUUCUGCUUAUUUUGAUCACGUUCGGCGCUCGAUCGCGCUGUAUGAGACAGGAAAACAUAGCAUGCAGACAUUAGCGACAGGUCUUACAGGCGGAAAAGGCUUGCCAAAGGAAAAAAAAAAACACACCACAACAUCUCUCCUAUUGGUGGAAAACUUCACCACAACAACCAAUCCAAAAUUAUAUGGUGACUGAUUGACAAGGGGCGGGCGCUUACGUUCUUCCUGCAAUAUGAGAAGGGAGGGAGGGACUCUCAGCAGGGAUGCAGUCUGGGACACGUAGUUGCAAACCUAGCGACUUUGUUGUUAGAUUCAAUGACUUUUCAGACCCCCUAACGACUUUUUUUUUAGAAAGAAAGGGACUUUUAUCGACUUCUUCUGGAGUUUUGAGACUCUGACAUGAAGCAGGCUUUCCUUACUGAGGAGUUAGCAACGCUGCUAAGGGUGCAGAGCCACACAUGCGCUCCGAGCUCUGCAUGGGAGACUGAAGCUGACAGAGCUGCAGCAGUUAGCAGGUUUCACCCUCAGAGACCACCAGGGGUUCAUGUUGAGGCAUUUUCAGUUUUUUUUUUUUUUUUGCCAUAGACACUGUCAGCACAAUCUGCAGUUACACUAACAAAAAUGCUGCAAAAAACAAAGAAUUAUGGAAAAAUUACACAUGGACUAACAUAGAGGAGGAUCUACACAAGUUUUUUACAUCAUGUUUUACAUCAUGCAUCAUUUACAUCAUGUUUUUUUUGUAGUGGCAUAAAUAAAAAGUGACAUUUGUGAGACUAUACAGUGUUUUGUAAAUAAUUUUACAAAGAACACCUGAGCCAUUGCCUGCAUUUUGAUGUAAAUAGAGGUAAAUUACUAUGUUCUUUGUUAAAAAUUUGCAUAUGUUCUGAAGUUUACAAUUUUUAUUUGAAGUUUAAGUUUUAAAAACAGUUCAUCACACAUAUUUGUGGUUUUCACAGUAAAAACGUUACUUUUUUCCACUCGGAUUUUAUGUUUUGUGUGUGAAUUUGGGUCCAAUGUGUAAAUAUAGUAUGUCAAAAUGAUAAAAUAACUGUAAAUUGACACAGGUGAGGUUGUGCUGAAAAAAAUGAUACCAGGCAAGGCAAGGUAAAAAUUUUGUAAGAGGAAAUAUAAAGGUAAAAUCUAAAGUAGUCAAAAACGGCCAAUAGUGACUCACAGACUCCAUAGACAAGUCCCUUUGGCGCCACUCAGUGGGCAAAACUACUUUGUCUACUGUAAUGUAUAUUUGGGUCAUCUUUGGCGCCCCCUAAAACGUAAACCGUGGGGUGCAGCGUCAUGAUUUUUACAACUUUGAAUGGCCAUGGAGUGUAGAUUGGCCUGAGCAAAUUUGGUGUCAGUGGGACGAAAGCCUUAGGAGGAGUUAGCGAAAUUCCAAUGUGUGCGAAUCGGCAAAAAAUGCAAAAUAGCCCUUUUACCGUACAUUAUACAGAUACGCGCUCUUUGACUUUUUCGUAGAUCUAAUUGAGAUACACAUGAUUGUCAAUUUUUGUGUCAUUUUGCCAAAGCGUACAGGCGUGACAGUCAACAAUGUGUAUUUUCACCUUAGGGGACAAGAAAAAAUGGACUUUUUUCUCCUGCCAUGGGGGGGCGCUCUUUUAGGAAGUAAAAAUUCCUUCACAAAUGUGUUGAUGGCUGGACAUUGCAUCAUCCUAGAAAACUUGGAGGCCAGUGAGGACAAAAAUAAAAAGUUAUAAGACUUUUAAAAAUGUGGAUUUUUGGGUUAUCUUUGGCGCCCCCUAGAACGUAAACCGUAGGGUGCAGCGUCAUGAUUUGAAUAACUUUUAAUGGCCAUGGGGUGUAAUUUGGCCUGAGCAAAUGUGGUGCCGGUGGAACGAAAGCCUUCGGAGGAGUUAGCGAAAUUCCAAUGUGUGCGAAUCGGCAAAAAAUGCGGAAUAACCCUUUAACCGUACAUUAGACAGAUACGCGCGCAUGGACUUUUUUGUAGAUCUUAUUGAGAUACAUGUGUGUGUCAAUUUUUGUGUCAUUUUGACAAAGCGUACAGGCGUGACACUCAACAAUGUGUAUUUUCACCUUAGGGGACAAGAAAAAAUGGACUUUUUUCUCCUGCCAUGGGGGGGCGCUCUUUUGGGGAGUAAAAAUUCCUUCACAAAUGUGUUGAUGGCUGGACAUUGCAUCAUCCUAGAAAACUUGGAGGCCAGUGAGGGCAAAAAUAAAAAGUUAUAAGACUUUUAAAAAUGUGGAUUUUAGGGUUAUCUUUGGCGCCCCCUAGAACCUAAACCGUGGGGUGCAGCGUCAUGAUUUGAAUAACUUUUAAUGGCCAUGGGGUGUAGAUUGGCCUGAGCAAAUGUGGUGCCGGUGGAACGAAAGCCUUCGGAGGAGUUAGCGAAAUUCCAAUGUGUGCGGAUCGGCAAAAAAUGCGAAAUAACCCUUUAACCGUACAUUUGACAGAUACGCCCGCACUGACUUUUUUGUAGAUCUUAUUGAGAUACAUGUGUGUGUCAAUUUUUGUGUCAUUUUGACAAAGCGUACAGGCGUGACAGUCAAUAGUGUGAAUUUUCACCUUAGGGGGCGCUAUGGAGCCAUUUUGCAUUUUCUUGUUUGGGCGACUUCGGAAUAUCGAAUUUUUCACCAGGCCCGGUCGUCCUGCCAAAUUUCCUGAGUUUUCGCCAGUGGGAAGUGGGCCAUUUUCCAGUUCAAAGGGGAGGAAAAAGAAGAAAGAAAGAAAGAAAGAAACAAAGAAAAACCCCUUGGGGAAUAAUAGGGCUCUCGCAGCUGCUUAGCAGCUACGCUCGGGCCCUAACUAGGGCCCCGGUGGGGCACUGUCGGGCCCGAGCCGCAUCGCACCACCCCCAGCGCGACCGCCUCCACCUCCCGAUCGCGUCACACUCAAGGUCCAAAGAUGGUGUGCGCACUUGUCUGUGGUCAUUUCCCAUUAUAAUGAAUGGGAAGCGCAGUUUCUACCAAAACACUCGCUGCAGACAAACUACAUGUCCUAUUUGAAAAAAGUCUGGACCAUGAGUGAGGGCACAAACAUAGCUAGGAUAUAUCCAAACGGCAAGUUGCUCCUCGUUACGGUGUUGCCAGGAGAGCGAUGCGAUUGAGCCAUUGAGUGAUGGGCAGGAAAAACUUGACUGUUUCUCCUGCCAUGGGGGGUGGGGGAUGGGGGGGGAUGUGGAUUCUUUUAAGAAAGUGGAUAUUUGGGUCAUCUUUGGCGCCCCCUAGAACGUAAACCGUGGGGUGCAGCGUCAUGAUUUUUACAACUUUGAAUGGCCAUGGGGUGUAGAUUGGCCUGAGAAAAUUUGGUGUCAGUGGGACGAAAGCCUUAGGAGGAGUUUGCGACAUUCCAAUGUGUGCGAAUCGGCAAAAAAUGCAAAAUAGCCCUUUAACCGUACAUUUGACAGAUACGCGCGCAUUGACUUUUUCGUAGAUCUUAUUGAGAUACACGUGAUUGUCAAAUUUUGUGUCAAUAUGACAAAGCGUACAGGCGUGACACUCAACAAUGUAAAUUUUCACCUUAGGGGACAAGAAAAAAUGGACUUUUUUCUCCUGCCAUGGGGGGGCGCUCUUUUGGGGAGUAAAAAUUCCUUCACAAAUGUGUUGAUGGCUGGACAUUGCAUUAUCCUAGAGAACUUGGAGGCCAGUGAGGACAAAAAUAAAAAGUUAUAAGACUUUUAAAUAUGUGGAUUUUAUGGUUAUCUUUGGCGCCCCCUAGAACCUAAACCGUGGGGUGCAGCGUCAUGAUUUGUACAACUUUUAAUGGCCAUGGGGUGUAGAUUGGCCUGAGCAAAUGUGGUGCCGGUGGAACGAAAGCCUUCGGAGGAGUUAGCGAAAUUCCAAUGUGUGCGGAUCGGCAAAAAAUGCGCAAUAAUCCUUUAACCGUACAUUUGACAGAUACGCCCGCACUGACUUUUUUGUAGAUCUUAUUGAGAUACAUGUGUGUGUCAAUUUUUGUGUCAUUUUGACAAAGCGUACAGGCGUGACAGUCAAUAGUGUGAAUUUCCACCUUAGGGGGCGCUAUGGAGCCAUUUUGCAUUUUAUUGUUUGGGCGACUUCAGAAUAUCGAAUUUUUCACCAGGCCCGGUCGUCCUGCCAAAUUUCAUGAGUUUUCGCCAGUGGGAAGUGGGCCAUUUUCCAGUUUAAAGCGGAGGAAAAAUAAUAACUAGGGCCCCGUUGGGGCACUGGCGGGCCCGAGCCGUGUCACGCCGCCCCCAGCGCGACCGCCUCCCCCACCCGAUCGCGUCACACUCAAGGUCCAAAGAUGGUGUGCGCACUUGUUUGUGGUCAUUUACCAUUAUAAUGAACGGGAGGCGCAGUUUCUACCAAAGCGCUCGCUGCAGAAAAACUCCAUGUCCUAUUUGAAAAAAGUCUGGACCAUGAGUGAGGGCACAAACACAGCUAAGAUAUAUCCAAAUGGCAAGUUGCUCCUCCUUUCGCUUUUGCCGAGAGAGCAGUGCGUUUGAGCCAUUGAAUGAUGAACAGGAAAAACUUGACUUUAUUCUCCUGCCAUGGGGGGCGCUCUUUUAACGAGAAAAAACUCCUUCACAAAUGUGUUGAUGGCUGGACAUUGCAUCAUCCUAGAAAACAUGGAGGCCAGUGAGGACAAAAAUAAAAAGUUAUAAGACUUUUAAAUAUGUGGAUUUUAGGGUUAUCUUUGGCGCCCCCUAGAACCUAAACCGUGGGGUGCAGCGUCAUGAUUUGAAUAACUUUUAAUGGCCAUGGGGUGUAGAUUGGCCUGAGCAAAUGUGGUGCCGGUGGAACAAAAGCCUUCGGAGGAGUUAGCGAAAUUCCAAUGUGUGCGAAUCUGCAAAAAAUGCAAAAUAACCCUUUAACCGUACAUUUUACAGAUACGUGGCCAUUGACUUUUUCGAAGAUCUUAUUGAAAUACACGUGUAUGUAAAAUUUUGUGUCAAUACGACAAAACAUACAGGCGUAGCACUCAACAAUGUGUAUUUUCACCUUAGUGGACAAGAAAAAAUGGACUUUUUUCUCCUGCCAUGGGGGGGCGCUCUUUUGGGGAGUAAAAAUUCCUUCACAAAUGUGUUGAUGGCUGGACAUUGCAUCAUCCUAGAAAACUUGGAGGCCAGUGGGGACAAAAAUAAAAAGUUAUAAGACUUUUAAAUAUGUGGAUUUUACGGUUAUCUUUGGCGCCCCCUAGAACCUAAACCAUGGGGUGCAGCGUCAUGAUUUGAAUAACUUUUAAUGGCCAUGGGGUGUAGAUUGGCCUGAGCAAAUGUGGUGCCGGUGGAACGAAAGCCUUCGGAGGAGUUAGCGAAAUUCCAAUGUGUGCGGAUCGGCAAAAAAUGCGGAAUAACCCUUUAACCGUACAUGUAACAGAUACGUGCGCAUUGACUUUUUCGUAGAUCUUAUUGAGAUACAUGUGUGUGUCAAUUUUUGUGUCAUUUUGCCAAAGCGUACAGGUGUUACACUCAACAAUGUGUAUUUUCACCUUAGAGGACAAGAAAAAAUGGACUUUUUUCUCCUGCCAUGGGGGGGCGCUCUUUUGGGGAGUAAAAAUUCCUUCACAAAUGUGUUGAUGGCUGGACAUUGCAUCAUCCUAGAAAACUUGGAGGCCAAUGAGGGCAAAAAUAAAAAGUUAUAAGACUUUUAAAUAUGUGGAUCUUAGGGUUAUCUUUGGCGCCCCCUAGAACCUAAACCGUGGGGUGCAGCGUCAUGAUUUGAAUAACUUUUAAUGGCCAUGGGGUGUAGAUUGGCCUGAGCAAAUGUGGUGCCGGUGGAACGAAAGCCUUCGGAGGAGUUAGCGAAAUUCCAAUGUGUGCGGAUCGGCAAAAAAUGCGAAAUAACCCUUUAACCGUACAUUUGACAGAUACGCCCGCACUGACUUUUUUGUAGAUCUUAUUGAGAUACAUGUGUGUGUCAAUUUUUGUGUCAUUUUGACAAAGCGUACAGGCGUGACAGUGAAUAGUGUGAAUUUUCACCUUAGGGGGCGCUAUGGAGCCAUUUUGCAUUUUCUUGUUUGGGCGACUUCGGAAUAUCAAAUUUUUCACCAGGCCCGGUCGUCCUGCCAAAUUUCAUGAGUUUUUGCCAGUGGGAAGUGGGCCAUUUUCCAGUUCAAAGGGGAGGAAAAAUAAUAAUAACUAGGGCCCCGUUGGGGCACUGGCGGGCCCGAGCCGUGUCACGCCGCCCCCAGCACGACCGCCUCCCCCACCCGAUCGCGUCACACUCAAGGUCCAAAGAUGGUGUGCGCACUUGUUUGUGGUCAUUUACCAUUAUAAUGAACGGGAGGCGCAGUUUCUACCAAAACGCUCGCUGCAGAAAAACUCCAUGUCCUAUUUGAAAAAAGUCUGGACCAUGAGUGAGGGCACAAACCCAGCUAAGAUAUAUCCAAAUGGCAAGUUGCUGCUCCUUUCGCUUUUGCCGAGAGAGCAGUGCGUUUGAGCCAUUGAAUGAUGAACAGGAAAAACUUGACUUUAUUCUCCUGCCAUGGGGGGCGCUCUUUUAACGAGAAAAAACUCCUUCACAAAUGUGUUGAUGGCUGGACAUUGCAUCAUCCUAGAAAACAUGGAGGCCAGUGAGGACAAAAAUAAAAAGUUAUAAGACUUUUAAAUAUGUGGAUUUUAGGGUUAUCUUUGGCGCCCCCUAGAACCUAAACCGUGGGGUGCAGCGUCAUGAUUUGAAUAACUUUUAAUGGCCAUGGGGUGUAGAUUGGCCUGAGCAAAUGUGGUGCCGGUGGAACGAAAGCCUUCGGAGGAGUUAGCGAAAUUCCAAUGUGUGCGAAUCUGCAAAAAAUGCGAAAUAACCCUUUAACCGUACAUUUUACAGAUACGUGGCCAUUGACUUUUUCGAAGAUCUUAUUGAAAGACACGUGUAUGUAAAAUUUUGUGUCAAUACGACAAAACAUACAGGCGUAGCACUCAACAAUGUGUAUUUUCACCUUAGUGGACAAGAAAAAAUGGACUUUUUUCUCCUGCCAUGGGGGGCGCUCUUUUGGCGAGUAAAAAUUCCUUCACAAAUGUGUUGAUGGCUGGACAUUGCAUCAUCCUAGAAAACUUGGAGGCCAGUGGGGACAAAAAUAAAAAGUUAUAAGACUUUUAAAUAUGUGGAUUUUACGGUUAUCUUUGGCGCCCCCUAGAACCUAAACCGUGGGGUGCAGCGUCAUGAUUUGAAUAACUUUUAAUGGCCAUGGGGUGUAGAUUGGCCUGAGAAAAUGUGGUGCCGGUGGAACGAAAGCCUUCGGAGGAGUUAGCGAAAUUCCAAUGUGUGCGGAUCGGCAAAAAAUGCGAAAUAACCCUUUAACCGUACAUUUGACAGAUACGUGCGCAUUGACUUUUUUGUAGAUCUUAUUGAGAUACAUGUGUGUGUCAAUUUUGGUGUCAUUUUGCCAAAGCGUACAGGUGUUACACUCAACAAUGUGUAUUUUCACCUUAGGGGACAAGAAAAAAUGGACUUUUUUCUCCUGCCAUGGGGGGCGCUCUUUUGGGGAGUAAAAAUUCCUUCACAAAUGUGUUGAUGGCUGGACAUUGCAUCAUCCUAGAAAACUUGGAGGCCAGUGAGGGCAAAAAUAAAAAGUUAUAAGACUUUUAAAUAUGUGGAUCUUAGGGUUAUCUUUGGCGCCCCCUAGAACCUAAACCGUGGGGUGCAGCGUCAUGAUUUGAAUAACUUUUAAUGGCCAUGGGGUGUAGAUUGGCCUGAGCAAAUGUGGUGCCGGUGGAACGAAAGCCUUCGGAGGAGUUAGCGAAAUUCCAAUGUGUGCGGAUCAGCAAAAAAUGCGAAAUAACCCUUUAACCGUACAUUUGACAGAUACGCCCGCACUGACUUUUUUGUAGAUCUUAUUGAGAUACAUGUGUGUGUCAAUUUUUGUGUCAUUUUGACAAAGCGUACAGGCGUGACAGUCAAUAGUGUGAAUUUUCACCUUAGGGGGCGCUAUGGAGCCAUUUUGCAUUUUCUUGUUUGGGCGACUUCGGAAUAUCAAAUUUUUCACCAGGCCCGGUCGUCCUGCCAAAUUUCAUGAGUUUUCGCCAGUGGGAAGUGGGCCAUUUUCCAGUUCAAAGGGGAGGAAAAAGAAAAAAGAAACAAAGAAAAACCCCUUGGGGAAUAAUAGGGCUCUCGCAGCUGCUUAGCAGCUACGCUCGGGCCCUAAGAAAGAAAGAAAGAAAGAAAGAAAGAAACAAAGAAAAACCACUUGGGGAAUAAUAGGGCCUACGCCCGGCUGCUCUGCAGCUGGCUCGGGCCCUAAAAAUGCUGCAAAAAACAAAGAAUUAUGGAAAAAUUACACAUGGACUGACAUAGAGGAGGAUCUACACAAGUUUUUUACAUCAUGUUUUACAUCAUGCAUCAUUUACAUCAUGUUUUUUUGUAGUGGCAUAAAUAAAAAGUGACAUUUGUGAGACUAUACAGUGAUUUGUAAAUAAUUUUACAAAGAACGCCUGGGCCAUUGCCUGCAUUUUGAUGUAAAUAGAGGUAAAUUACUAUGUUCUUUGUUAAAAAUUUGCAUAUGUUUUGAAGUUUACAAUUUUUAUUUGAAGUUUAAGUUUUAAAAACAGUUCAUCACACAUAUUUGUGGUUUAAUUUCACAUUAAUUUCCAUAUUGUAUAAAUGACUGGAAAAAACUUGAGCCCCUGCCCCUGUAUAAUCAUGUGCACGUCCCUGUUCUAGCUCCAAGGUGAAUCUUCACUGCUCAUGUUCUCCUCAGAAAUAGUCACCUCACUCCCCUCAGGUUACUGUACACAUGCACCAACUAUCUGCUUCAGGUUUGAAAUGGAGCUUCAUGGUUGUCUUUUGGAGAAAUGACCAGUCAAGUUGUGUUUGAAAUUUGAUUUUUUUCAGGGGCAAAAGGAAGCCUCUGCAUUCUUGUCAAAUAUGUAAACAGCAUGUUGCAGGUGCUAAAAAACAGACUCUGAGUGUGUGUGUGUGUCUGUGUGUGUGUGUGUGUGUGUGUGUGUGUGUAUGUUGGCGUGUGUGUAUAUGUGUGUGUAUCCUGCAGUACUCUGUACUCCUGCAGUGGCCAAAAUGACUUUUAAGAAUGUGGAUUUUUGGGUCAUCUUUGGCGCCCCCUAGAACUGCAGUACUCUGUACUCCUGCAGUGGCCAAAAUGACUUUUAAGAAUGUGGAUUUUUGGGUCAUCUUUGGCGCCCCCUAGAACGUAAACCGUGGGGUGCAGCGUCAUGAUUUUUACAACUUUGAAUGGGCAUGGGGUGUAGAUUGCCCUGAGCAAAUUUGGUAUCGGUGGGACGAAAGCCUUAGGAGGAGAUAGCCACAUUCCAAUGUGUGCGAAUCGGCAAAAAAUGCAAAAUAGCCCUUUAACCGUACAUUAUACAGAUACGCGCUCUUUGACUUUUUCGUAGAUCUAAUUGAGAUACACAUGAUUGUCAAUUUUUGUGUCAAUAUGACAAAGCGUUCAGGCGUGACACUCAACAAUGUGUAUUUUUAUGUAAGGGGACAAGAAAAAAUCGACUUUUUUCCUCUACCAUGGGGGGCGCUCUUUUGGGGAGUAAAAAUUCCUUCACAAAUGUGUUGAUGGCUGGACAUUGCAUCAUCCUAGAAAACUUGGAGGCCAGUGAGGACAAAAAUAAAAAGUUAUAAAACAUUUAAGAAUGUGGAUUUUUGGGUUAUUUUUGGCGCCCCCUAGAACCUAAACCAUGGGGUGCAGCAUCAUGAUUUGAAUAACUUUUAAUGGCCAUGGGGUGUAGAUUGGCCUGAGCAAAUGUGGUGCCGGUGGAACGAAAGCCUUCGGAGGAGUUAGCGAAAUUCCAAUGUGUGCGUAUCGGCAAAAAAUGCGGAAUAACCCUUUAACUGUACAUUUGACAGAUACGCGCGCAUGGACUUUUUUGUAGAUCUUAUUGAGUUACAUGUGUGUGUCAAUUUUUGUGUCAUUUUGACAAAGCGUAUAGGCGUGACACUCAACAAUGUGUAUUUUCACCUUAGGGGACAAGAAAAAAUGGACUUUUUUCUCCUGCCAUGGGGGGGCGCUCUUUGGGGGAGUAAAAAUUCCUUCACAAAUGUGUUGAUGGCUGGACAUUGCAUCAUCCUAGAAAACUUGGAGGCCAGUGAGGACAAAAAUAAAAAGUUAUAAGACUUUUAAAUAUGUGGAUUUUAGUGUUAUCUUUGGCGCCCCCUAGAACCUAAACCUUGGGGUGCAGCGUCAUGAUUUUGAUAACUUUUAAUGGCCACGGGGUGUAGAUUGGCCUGAGCAAAUGUGGUGCCGGUGGAACGAAAGCCUUCGGAGGAGUUAGCGAAAUUCCAAUGUGUGCGGAUCGGCAAAAAAUGCGAAAUAACCCUUUAACCGUAAUUUUGACAGAUACGGCCGCACUGACUUUUUUGUAGAUCUUAUUGAGAUACAUAUGUGUGUCAAUUUUUGUGUCAAUAUGACAAAGCGUACAGGCGUGACAGUCAAUAGUGUGAAUUUCCACCUUAGGGGGCGCUAUGGAGCCAUUUUGCAUUUUAUUGUUUGGACGACUUCAGAAUAUCGAAUUUUUCACCAGGCCCGGUCGUCCUGCCAAAUUUCAUGAGUUUUCGCCAGUGGGAAGUGGGCCAUUUUCCAGUUCAAAGGGGAGGAAAAAGAAGAAAGAAAGAAAGAAAGAAAGAAACAAAGAAAAACCACUUGGGGAAUAAUAGGGCCUACGCCCGGCUGCUCUGCAGCUGGCUCGGGCCCUAAUAAUAAUAACUAGGACCCCGUUGGGGCACUGGCGGGCCCGAGCUGUGUCGCGUCCCCCCCCCAACGCGCUGCCUCCCCGUCCCAUUUGUGUCCUCUGGCCAUCGCCCUCUCUGGUAACGCCCAUCACUGCAAAGACCCUUUUCCUUCAUCGGCGUUUGCUGUUCUUCCUGCCAGUGCGUGUUGCUUUCACUUACACUUGCCACAGCCAGCCUCUUGAGUGCCUAGCCUAUUGGAUAUCACUGUCACCUACUCAGGACAGUCAUUACCUUUCUAUUAAUACUUUGUUUUUUAAUUUCACAUUAAUUUCCAUAUUGUAUAAACAACUGGAAAAAACUUGAGCCCCUGCCCCUGUAUAAUCAUGUGCACGUCUCUGUUCUAGCUGUAAGGUGAAUCUUCACUGCUCAUGUUCUCCUCAGAAGCAGUCACCUCACUCCCCUCAGGUUACUGUACACAUGCACCAACUGCCUGCUUCAGGUUUGGAUGGAGCUUCAUGGUUGUCUUUUGGAGAAAUGACCAGUCAAGUUGUGUUUGAAAUUUGAUUUUUUUCAGGGGCAAAAGGAGCCUCUGCAUUCUUGUCAAAUAUGUAAAUAGCAUGUUUUUGCAGGUGCUAAAAACCAGACUCUGAGUGUGUGUGUGUGUGUGUGUGUGUGUGUGUGUGUGUGUGUGUGUGCGUGUGUGUGUGUCUGUGUGUGCGUUCAAGUCACAUGACAUAUUUAACCGGAUGUAGCUGCAAGACGGAGCCUCGUUGACUCUCCGUUUCAACUUAUCUCAAAAGUGAGGACCUCAACCUAUAUACCAGUUUUUAAAUUGUGUUGAUAGGCCAAAUAAAACCAGAGUUAUGAUAAAUUAUGUCCGCGAUACUUUUUUUCUGCUUAUUUUGAUCACGUUCGGCGCUCAAUCGCGCUGUAUGAGACAGGAAAACAUAGCAUGCAGACAUUAGCGACAGGUCUUACAGGCGGAAAAGGCUUGCCAAAAGAAAAAAAAAAACACACCACAACAUCUCUCCUAUUGGUGGAAAACUUCACCACAACAACCAAUCCAAAAUUAUAUGGUGACUGAUUGACAAGGGGCGGGCGCUUACGUUCUUCCUGCAAUAUGAGAAGGGAGGGAGGGACUCUCAGCAGGGAUGCAGUCUGGGACACGUAGUUGCAAACCUAGAGACUUUGUUGUUAGAUUCAAUGACUUUUCAGACCCCCUAACGACUUUUUUUUAGAAAGAAAGGGACUUUUAUCGACUUCUUCUGGAGUUUAGAGACUCUGACAUGAAGCAGGCUUUCCUUACUGAGGCGUUAGCAACGCUGCUAAGGGUGCAGAGCCACACAUGCGCUCAGAGCUCUGCAUGGGAGACUAAAGCUGACAGAGCUGCAGCAGUUAGCAGGUUUCACCCUCAGAGACCACCAGGGGUUCAUGUUGAGGCAUUUUAAUUUUUUUUUUUUUUGUGCCAUAGACACUGUCAGCACAAUCUGCAGUUACACUAACAAAAAUGCUGCAAAAAACAAAGAAUUAUGGAAAAAUUACACAUGGACUGACAUAGAGGAGGAUCUACACAAGUUUUUUACAUCAUGUUUUACAUCAUGCAUCAUUUACAUCAUGUUUUUUUGUAGUGGCAUAAAUAAAAAGUGACAUUUGUGAGACUAUACAGUGUUUUGUAAAUAAUUUUACAAAGAACGCCUGGGCCAUUGCCUGCAUUUUGAUGUAAAUAGAGGUAAAUUACUAUGUUCUUUGUUAAAAAUUUGCAUAUGUUUUGAAGUUUACAAUUUUUAUUUGAAGUUUAAGUUUUAAAAACAGUUCAUCACACAUAUUUGUGGUUUUCACAGUAAAAAUGUUACUUUUUUCCACUCGGAUUUUAUGUUUUGUGUGUGAAUUUGGGUCCAUUGUGUAAAUUCAGUAUGUCAACAUGAUAAAAUAACUGUAAAUUCGCACAGGUGAGGUUGUGCUGAAAAAAAUGAUACCAGGCAAGGCACGUGAUUGUCAAAUUUUGUGUCAAUAUGACAAAGCGUAUAGGCGUGAAUCUCAACAAUAUGUAUUUUCACCUUAGGGGACAAGAAAAAAUGGACAUUUUUCUCCUGCCAUGGGGGGCGCUCUUUUGGGGAGUAAAAAUUCCUUCACAAAUGUGUUGAUGGCUGGACAUUGCAUCAUCCUAGAAAACUUGGAGGCCAGUGAGGACAAAAAUAAAAAGUUAUAAGACUUUUAAAUAUGUGGAUUUUAGGGUUGUCUUUGGCGCCCCCUAGAACCUAAACCAUGGGGUGCAGCGUCAUGAUUUGAAUAACUUUUAAUGGCCAUGGGGUGUAGAUUGGCCUGAGCAAAUGUGGUGCCGGUGGACAGAAAGCCUUCGGAGGAGUUAGCGAAAUUCCAAUGUGUGUGGAUCGGCAAAAAAUGCGGAAUAACCCUUUAACCGUACAUUUGACAGAUACGCGCGCGUUGACUUUUUCGUAGAUCUUAUUGAGUUACAUGUGUGUGUCAAUUUUUGUGUCAUUUUGACAAAGCGUAAAGGCGUGACACUCAACAAUGUGUAUUUUCACCUUAGGGGACAAGAAAAAAUGGACUUUUUUCUCCUGCCAUGGGGGGGCGCUCUUUUGGGGAGUAAAAAUUCCUUCACAAAUGUGUUGAUGGCUGGACAUUGCAUCAUCCUAGAAAACUUGGAGGCCAGUGAGGACAAAAAUAAAAAGUUAUACGACUUUUAAAUAUGUGGAUUUUAGGGUUGUUUUUGGCGCCCCCUAGAACCUAAACCGUGGGGUGCAGCAUCAUGAUUUGAAUAACUUUUAAUGGCCAUGGGGUGUAGAUUGGCCUGAGCAAAUGUGGUGCCGGUGGACAGAAAGCCUUCGGAGGAGUUAGCGAAAUUCCAAUGUGUGCGGAUCGGCAAAAAAUGCGGAAUAACCCUUUAACCGUACAUUUGACAGAUACGCCCGCACUGACUUUUUUGUAGAUCUUAUUGAGAUACAUAUGUGUGUCAAUUUUUGUGUCAUUUUGACAAAGCGUAAAGGCGUGACAGUCAAUAGUGUGAAUUUUCACCUUAGGGGGCGCUAUGGAGCCAUUUUGCAUUUUCUUGUUUGGGCGACUUCGGAAUAUCAAAUUUUUCACCAGGCCCGGUCAUCCUGCCAAAUUUCAUGAGUUUUCGCCAGUGGGAAGUGGGCCAUUUUCCAGUUCAAAGGGGAGGAAAAAGAAGAAAGAAAGAAACAAAGAAAAACCUCUUGGGGAAUAAUAGGGCUCUCGCAGCUGCUUAGCAGCUACGCUCGGGCCCUAAUAACAAAAGAAGGAAACUACAGGAACAAGAGGGCUCUCGCAGCUGCUUAGCAGCUACGCUCGGGCCCUAAUAAUAACAAAAGAAGAAUCCAUCAGGAACAAGAGGGCUCUCGCAGCUGCUUAGCAGCUACGCUCGGGCCCUAACUAGGACCCCGUUGGGGCACUGGCGGGCCCGAGCCGUGUUGCGCCCCCCCCCCAACGUGCUGCCUCCCCGUCCCAUUUGUGUCCUCUGGCCAUCGCCCUCUCUGGUAACGCCCAUCACUGCAAAGACCCUUUUCCUUCAUCGGCGUUUGCUGUUCUUCCUGCCAGUGCGUGUUGCUUUC
rnacentral:lncRNA from 1 species